ACCGAAUUCAGCAAUUGAUGGUGCAGGUUCAGUAUUAUCAGAUCUCACAGUCAAAAAUGAUUGCAGGUCUUUCUCAGCACAUUGGUGAAGACGCUCCAGACCAGACUCAGCUUCACCUUGCAGGUACUCGAAAAAUUCGCUCUUGACCUUGUCGUCCAGAUAAUAGCCAUAAGCAUAUGUCCAUUUGAGUACCCGCCUGCAUUCAAUAAUCUGAAAUAGACAUACUUCAAUUAUGAACUUCAGUUGGGUCUCCGGUAUUCCAAAAACAUC
rnacentral:sRNA from 1 species